GAUGAACGCUGGCGGCAUGCCUAACACAUGCAAGUCGGACGGGAAGUGGUUUUUCCCGUGCCCGACGGGUGAGCAACGCGCGAGAACGUGCCGUUGGGAGGGGAAUCACAUCUGGAAACGGCUGCAACUACCCCGAAGUCUGAGGAGCACAAGGAGGAAUCCGCCAGAGGAGGGGCUUGCGUAUGAUUAGCUAGGUGGUGAGGCAAUAGCUUACCAAGGCGAUGAUCAGUAGCUGGUCCGAGAGGAUGAUCAGCCACACUGGGACUGAGCCACGGCCCAGGCACCUUCGGGAGGCGGCAGUAGGCAGUUUUCCGCAAUGGGCGAUAGCCUAACAGGGCAAUGCCGCGUGAAAGUAGAUGGCCCGCGAGUCAUGAACUGCUUUUUCCGAAGAAGAUGCAAUGACGGUAUCUGGAGAAUAAGCAUCGGCUAACUCCGUG
rnacentral:rRNA from 1 species